rnacentral:rRNA from 1 species
UCCUACGGGAGGCAGGAGUAGGGAAUUUUCGUCAAUGGGCGCAAGCCUGAACGAGCAAUGCCGCGUGAACGAGGAAGGUCUUCGGAUCGUAAAGUUCUGUUGCAGGGGAAAAAGAGCGGAGAGAGGAAAUGGUCUCCGAUUGAUAUUACCCUUCGAGGAAGUCACGGCUAACUACGUGCCAGCAGCCGCGGUAAUACGUAGGUGGCGAGCGUUAUCCGGAAUGAUUGGGCGUAAAGGGUGCGUAGGCGGCCUGCUAAGUCUGGAGUGAAAGGUACCGGCUCAACCGGUACAGGCUCUGGAAACUG